GAUGAACGCUGGCGGCGUGCCUAAUACAUGCAAGUCGAGCGAACAGACGAGGAGCUUGCUCCUCUGACGUUAGCGGCGGACGGGUGAGUAACACGUGGAUAACCUACCUAUAAGACUGGGAUAACUUCGGGAAACCGGAGCUAAUACCGGAUAAUAUAUUGAACCGCAUGGUUCAAUAGUGAAAGACGGUUUUGCUGUCACUUAUAGAUGGAUCCGCGCUGCAUUAGCUAGUUGGUAAGGUAACGGCUUACCAAGGCAACGAUGCGUAGCCGACCUGAGAGGGUGAUCGGCCACACUGGAACUGAGACACGGUCCAGACUCCUACGGGAGGCAGCAGUAGGGAAUCUUCCGCAAUGGGCGAAAGCCUGACGGAGCAACGCCGCGUGAGUGAUGAAGGUCUUCGGAUCGUAAAACUCUGUUAUUAGGGAAGAACAAAUGUGUAAGUAACUAUGCACGUCUUGACGGUACCUAAUCAGAAAGCCACGGCUAACUACGGG
rnacentral:rRNA from 1 species